rnacentral:rRNA from 1 species
AUUGAACGCUGGCGGAAUGCUUUACACAUGCAAGUCGAGCGGCAGCGCGGGGCAACCUGGCGGCGAGCGGCGAACGGGUGAGUAACACAUCGGAACGUGCCCAGGAGUGGGGGAUAGCCCGGCGAAAGCCGGAUUAAUACCGCAUACGAACUGAGGUUGAAAGCGGGGGGACCGAAAGGCCUCGCGCUCGUGGAGCGGCCGAUGGCAGAUUAGGUAGUUGGUGGGGUAAAGGCCCACCAAGCCUGCGAUCUGUAGCUGGUCUGAGAGGACGACCAGCCACACUGGGACUGAGACACGGCCCAGACUCCUACGGGAGGCAGCAGUGGGGAAUUUUGGACAAUGGGCGCAAGCCUGAUCCAGCCAUUCCGCGUGCAGGACGAAGGCCUUCGGGUCGUAAACUGCUUUGUACGGAGCGAAAGGGUCCUGCCUAAUACGUGGGGCAUAUGACGGUACCGUAAGAAUAAGCACCGGCUAACUACGUGCCAGCAGCCGCGGUAAU